rnacentral:rRNA from 1 species
UACGGAGGAUGCAAGCGUUAUCCGGAAUGAUUGGGCGUAAAGCGUCCGCAGGUGGCUGUGUAAGUCUGCUGUCAAAGAGCGAAGCUCAACUUCGUAAAGGCAGUGGAAACUACACGGCUAGAGUGCGUUCGGGGCAGAGGGAAUUCCUGGUGUAGCGGUGAAAUGCGUAGAGAUCAGGAAGAACACCGGUGGCGAAGGCGCUCUGCUAGGCCGCAACUGACACUGAGGGACGAAAGCUAGGGGAGCAAACGGG